AAUGGCUGCUGGUACCCAAAAUUUUAUUCGAAUCUGAACUGAAUUCGAACGGAGCUGAUUUAUUUGAUAUUAAAUAGAUAUGGUUUCGAAUAUAGAUAUCAAAAAUAAAAAUCCGACGGAUAUAAAUUUGGAUAUGAAUUUUGAUUAUACCCGAUCCAAACUCGAACUUGAACCCGAAUUUAUUUUUACAUUAUAUAUAACAUGUAUAUAAAAAUUUGAUAUUAUAUUUGAAUUUAUAUUUUAAAAAUUUAAUUUAAUAUAAUAUAUUUUGAAAUAUUGAAAAGAAAAAUAAUUAUUUCGGGUUCGAAUUUUUGGGUUCGGAUUCGGAUUCGGAUUUUGGAUUUUUGGCCGGGUUUGGAUUUUUAGAAAUCCAACCCAUUGACAUCCCUAUCUACUGUCCAUUCCUAGACCCCAUGAAUCCCCUCUCCGUCGAUCGGACGGUCUAUAGUACACGUCCGCAUGCGCCACCGCACUGACCCGGUUAAAAAGCCCAAACCUAUUCUUUGAUGCUUCACUCUUCGCACCUCUUCUUCUAAAGAAAGUUUGCAGUAUCACACUUACACCACAUCAUCAGUGACAAAUCAAUCAUAUCUCUUUUUAUGAAAAAAAAAAGUUCAGCAAUCUAUUACCAAUUGAUGGGAUAGUUGAACCUCAAGGGAACAAUCUUAUUGGGGAUGCCACGUCAUUAAUAUAACUAGUUCAUUUUAGAAUUUUCCUUCUCCUAUGCACUCCUCCUCCUCCUCCCUAUAUAUAGUUAGGAAUGAAUAAGAAAUAAAAAAUAACGCUUCAAAUAAUCUGAAUUUUGACUAAAUUAUAAAUUACGAUCUCAAAUUCUAAAAGUUGAAAUUUAGUUUAUGAGCAAUAAUUUAUUGCAAUUCAUCACACAGAUUCGCUGUCCGUUAAUUUACACAUACGUCUGUUACAAAAAUUAAUUAGACAUUCAACUAAUCACUACAACAGAAUUAGGUUAUAGGGACACAUGUUUGGAACACUUUUGAGUAAGUGUCCCAUUUAUCCUAAAACUUAAAAAAACAUCUAGUAAUGCCUAAAUAUAAAGCCCAAUCCAACCAAAAAUAAAAGAUUACUCUACUCAACCCACCACACCCAGUCCAUUUGGCCCGAUUACAAACAGAAAAGAAAAAAAAAAAAGAAAAAUUAAUUACCAUCUUUUCUUCUCUCUUCACUCAAUCCACUAAAAUUCUAGACGAAGAGCCUUUCCUGUUGUCCUCCUCCGCCACCGCAGCCAACGAGAU
rnacentral:lncRNA from 1 species